AGGCCCCACUUGUAACAAUAUCUCUUUUCGAGGAACAGUCAAGGGUGUAUAGUUAUUGUACUGUCUAAAAGGUAAUGGUUGCCGAACCUUUCUUGGAGGACUACGGGAUCGACAAUUUCGAUCCCCAUUAUUCUGCCUUGGGGGUGGGGACUGAAAGCGCUGGCAUCUUUUCUCCUCUUGCCUUGGAUGGUGCUCCUUAUGGAUCC
rnacentral:lncRNA from 1 species